GCCUGGGUGGCUCAGUCAGAUGAGCGUCUGACUUCAGCUCAGGUCAUGAUCUCAUGGUUUGUGAGUUCGAGCCCCAUGUCAGGCU
rfam:Felis catus isolate Cinnamon breed Abyssinian chromosome C1, whole genome shotgun sequence.